rnacentral:tRNA from 1 species
GGGCCUAUAGCUCAGCUGGUUAGAGCACUCGGCUCAUAACCGAGUGGUCCCAAGUUCGAAUCUUGGUAGGCCCACCA